rnacentral:rRNA from 1 species
ACGCGUAGACAACUUGCCCUUACGCGGGGAAUAAGCGCUGGAAACGGCGUCUAAUACCCCAUAUUGUCCUGAGGCUGCAUAGCCUUGUGAUGAAAGCUUUCGAGUGCGUAAGGAUGGGUCUGCGUCGGAUUAGCUGGUUGGUAGGGUAACGGCCUACCAAGGCGACAAUCCGUAGCUGGUCUGAGAGGACGAUCAGCCACACUGGGACUGAGACACGGCCCAGACUCCUACGGGAGGCAGCAGUGGGGAAUCUUGCGCAAUGGAGGAAACUCUGACGCAGCUACGCCGCGUGCAGGAAGACACCCCUACGGGGCGUAAACUGCUUUUAUAAGGGAAGAAGGUCUCCGCUUUCGAGCGGGGCUUGACGGUACCUUAUGAAUAAGGACCGGCUAACUCCGUGCCAGCAGCCGCGGUAAUACGGAGGGUCCAAGCGUUGUCCGGAAUCACUGGGUGUAAAGGGUGCGCAGGCGGGCUUGUCAGUCAGAGGUGAAAUCCCCCGGCCUAACCGGGGAACUGCCUUUGAUACUGCAAGCCUUGGAUCUUGGAGAGGCUGUCAGAAUUCGUGGUGUAGCGGUGAAAUGCGUAGAUAUCACGAGGAACACCAGAAGCGUAAGCGGACAGCUGGACGGUGACUGACGCUCAGGCACGAAAGCGUG